CAUGAGCUCCGGAGCCAGUCAAAUCUGGAGAUGAGGUCUAGCUUGGCCUCUCUGUAGCUAUGUGACUUUGAGUAGGUCCUUCAACUACUGUGAAAUUCAGCUUUCCCUUUGGAAAGGGGGUUAGUGAUACCUACCAUAUCACCAACCUACAGGAUGAGAAUGAGACUAUUUCUCUAAAUGGCACACCAAGUGUCUAUGGCCAAGGUGAAAUGGUGGUUGAGCGUGUCUGUCAUCUGGGCCGCGCGUACCAGCUGAAGAAAAAGCAAGGAGGACACUUGUCCAGUGAUCCACGGUGCUUGCUGCAGGUCAUUCCCACCUCACCACUUCAGGAGAUCAGAUCCAACUUCUAUGUGCAAAGCCAACAACCGGAGAGUGACAGAGCUAGGACUCAAAACCACAGUGUUUCCGCAUGGAGGAAGAGAAGAAAGGGGAGAAUGGAGGGGAAACAUCUUUUAUACCGGACUCCUUGUUCCACAACCCCCACCAGCAACCCCAACCAGUGUGGCAUUUGUCUUCUGCAGUAA
rnacentral:lncRNA from 1 species